rnacentral:rRNA from 1 species
CCUACGGGAGGCAGCAGUGGGGGAUAUUGGACAAUGGGGGGAACCCUGAUCCAGCGACGCCGCGUGAGUGAAGAAGUAUUUCGGUAUGUAAAGCUCUGUCAGCAGGGAAGAAAGAAAUGACGGUACCUGACCAAGAAGCCCCGGCUAACUACGUGCCAGCAGCCGCGGUAAUACGUAGGGGGCAAGCGUUAUCCGGAAUUACUGGGUGUAAAGGGAGCGUAGACGGUUAAGUAAGUCUGGAGUGAAAGGCCGGGGCUCAACCCCGGGACUGCUCUGGAAACUAUUGAACUUGAGUGCAAGAGAGGUAAGCGGAAUUGCUAGUGUAGCGGUGAAAUGCGUAGAUAUUAGGAGGAACACCAGUGGCGAAGGCGGCUUACUGGACUGGAACUGACGUUGAGGCUCGAAAGCGUGGGGAGCAAACAGGAUUAGAUACCCCGGUAGUC